rnacentral:rRNA from 1 species
ACUCCUGCGGGAGGCAGCAGUGAGGAAUAUUGGACAAUGGGUGGAAGCCUGAUCCAGCCAUCCCGCGUGCAGGAAGACGGCCCUAUGGGUUGUAAACUGCUUUUAUCUGGGGAUAAACCUACUUACGUGUAAGUAGCUGAAGGUACCAGAAGAAUAAGCACCGGCUAACUCCGUGCCAGCAGCCGCGGUAAUACGGAGGGUGCAAGCGUUAUCCGGAUUUAUUGGGUUUAAAGGGUCCGUAGGCGGACUGAUAAGUCAGUGGUGAAAUCCGACAGCUUAACUGUCGAACUGCCAUUGAUACGGUUAGUCUUGAGUAAGGUUGAAGUGGCUGGAAUAAGUAGUGUAGCGGUGAAAUGCAUAGAUAUUACUUAGAACACCAAUUGCGAAGGCAGGUCACUAAGUCUUAACUGACGCCGAUGGACGAAAGCGUGGGGAGCGAACAGGAUUAGAAACCCUGGUAGUCCC